rfam:Parcubacteria (Wolfebacteria) bacterium GW2011_GWA2_47_9b TY19_C0009, whole genome shotgun sequence.
GCUCUCGUCGUUCAACGGAUAGGACUACGCAUUCCUAAUGCGUCAAUGGGGGUUCGAUUCCCUCCGAGAGCA